GGGGGGUAUGUGACCCUGGUGGGCACCGCAGGUUUCAACCCUGAUCGGCGGUUUACGUGUGUACGCCGCGGUAGGUUCAAUUCCUACGCCUUCUCGCCA
rnacentral:tRNA from 1 species